GCCGCAGUCUACUAACGUUACCCUACUGUUUCUUCUCCACAGCACCACCGUCCUGUUAAUGACGACAUCCGGUCUCAGAAUAUGAAAAAACAGGCCUUUUUUCCGUUUCUGUUUUCUAGUGAUUUUAUUUUUUGUUAUAUAAAAUAGAAAAUGAAAAUCGAAUCGUUUUUUAAAUUUCGCUCAUCCUUUUCUGACCACGAAAAAGAAAAACGCCUUGUAUUUCAAUUUUCAUUUUUGUAUUUUAAAACGAAAAUCAAAUAAGCACUCGUUUUCUGUUUUUUAAUUCCCGUUUCUGAAAGGAAAAUCCAAUGACCAAAACAUACACGGACCCAAAACUAUGUUCUUUCACAGUUCCACCAAUCACCAACUCUGCUUCGGUCUAAAUAAAACCAUUAUUCACAGACACAUGGAGCAGACUGGCUAAGUAAAUAAAGCACAGAGAGGCUGCCAUUGCAGCAAAGGCAGAGGGAGUGUGAUAUUCUCUGCUCAGGACGCCAUGACCCCCACUAUACCUUUACAUAGCUAAUAGUUGUUUGUUGUAAUAUUAAUGUUGGUGUUGAACUGGAGCAUAUGUCAGCAGACUUAGAGGGCCACACAUUAACAUCUCGUAGGACAGCGGGUAUUAAAUAAUUUUAUAAUGCAGGCAUUUUGAGGAAGACACUCUGCCAUUAGACAGUCUUAACACAGAGGACAGCUGGGUCUGAUAAGCAAACAUACAGCGAGUUCACCAGUCACCAAAACAGGAAGACAAAAUGCUUUUUAACCAAUGAAAUGACACAUACAAUAGUACGCUUUCUGUGAUUGGCUCGAAUGGCGUUCCGAGACAACCCCUUUGAGGCAGACUGGAGAGUGGUUGUUUAGUCCACACCAGAGUUCAGCGACACCAACCCAAACAAACCACACCAAGGAGCUAAACGCUCCGGGGUUCGGUUUAACCUGACAAAGCAAGGCUGGAGUGAACCCACACAAAGAUGCUAAACUCUGAAGAUGGAUUCCUACGGCUUUCACAUGACAAGAGUAAUAUGUAUCUGUCACUCUUUCCAUCCUUGCUUUCAAAGAGACUUCAAGUGAGUAAUGAAAGAUAUUGGACACCUCCAAUAUCGGGAAUCGAUGGAUGACGUGGAGGCCAGAACUGCCCGCUUAUUCAACGGUCACUUGCUUAGAAAAUAAGAUAAGAUCACUCUUUUAUAUUUCCUUUUUUUUUUGCAAUCAAAAUUAUGUGUUACAAGCCAUAACUCCAUUUCCUUGGUAACACCUGAGGGUUUGACUAAUACCUUGAAGAAUCAUUACCAUCGCAUAAGGUUCUUAUGUAAUGAAAAUGUUCACUAUUCCACUAAAUAGGACGAACCUUAGAUACAUCUUGACAACAGGAGAAAUUUUUAGUUCCUCCUGCUCAUAGAACCAUUUGGCUCUGCUACGAGACAGAGAGCUAACCUUAUGUUAGCAAGGUUCAAAGUCAAAAACACUGUAUACAGCUGCCAAAGGGUAAAUAUAAUUUUACAUAACGUUUAACAACAUGACUAGCUAGCUAUCCAACCAAAUCAAUAUCAAGAUUUUCACGAACGAUAGGGCAUGUGUACUGGCGACCGCAGCCUGAAGUAGCGAGCUGAAUAGUGGGCGGGAUGUGGAAGCAUCGCUUAUAUAAAGUACCUGUGAGUUCAGAGGGGCAGUGUGGGGGGGUUGUGUGUUACAGUCGCCAUCCUGUGGUAUUCAGAGGAUGAACCACUGAAGGACUUCACUCAGUGUUGUGAGAUAUAUUCAUAUUCAUUAUUAUUCGUCCUUUCAGGAAUUAAUGGACACACCAUGCAGCCAAUCAGAAUCCAGUAUUCACUCAGAGCAUGGUAUAAUGUUGCUUUAAUGAGACAGAUGACCAUGUUCAUCUGAAGCACUGCCUUCUCUGUCAAUGCCAAAUCAUUUUGAAUAAUGUUACUUGCUGAUCAUCUUGCAUCAGAGUUCAUCUCCUCCUCAGUUUCCUUCAUUCAUUGACUGUAGAAACUUAACUUUAAAUCAAAUUGACGUUUCCUUGGGCCACAGCUUGUGUCU
rnacentral:lncRNA from 15 species